AGUUUCUUUUUCUAUUAAAUGGAAGUAGUGCUUAUACCCAUGCUUAUACUCAAUACGAUCAUGCAAGCAAAAGCGCUUUGUAAAUGACAAAAAGCCUCGAUAAGCGGAUCACUCCUAUCGUUAUUCUUUCCAUCCAGCCGCCUCCUGGAGCAGAUUGUUAAGCUGAUGCGAGUCUGGGCUCUGCCUCACCACUUGUCUCAGAGAAUGUCCAGUGCUAGGAGACUCAUAAGUUGGAGAGAAACGGCCUGAUUUAUAGAAACUGAGCGAGACUCCGGACCACCUGAUGCAGAGAAACCUGUGACCUGAAAAAGUCUAUUUGUGUUUCCUCUAGGAAUCUCGGCCAAGAAGACAGGGACAAGCUCCCAACUCUGACUACCCCUUUUACAGGGAAAAAAAAAAAAUCCCGUGCCUUCUUUGCAGCAAGUGACAAAUCCUUGUCAUAUCGAGAUGGCUUUUCCUCCUCCUCUUCAAACAUCUUUUAGCAGCAACAGCAGCUCAAGUAACUGGAAUUAUUUCAGAGUUAAAAUGCAGGCUUUGUAGACCCUCUUAGACAGACAGAUUCAAUUUCAAAGGAAACUUCUUUGGCUGGGUACUCAGUGAGUGUUACACAGGGAUUUGGGGAGUUAAUAUUCACUGUUUCUGUUGUUGGAGAAAAGGAAAGCAGAGUUGCUCUUUCUCAUUACUCUCCCCAACGCACAUCUGUUUCCUCUCGUAUCUUGGAAUUAGGAAGAUGGAGGAGACUUAAGUGGUGACCCACCUAGCCUCCUGAUGCAUGCUGGGCUCACUUUAAAACUCCCAAAACAGAUGGCAGUUGAUCACGGUUUUAAAGAUCCCAGCAUAGACUUUCUGCAGCCUCCCUUGUUAGCCACUAUCAGCGCUUAACAUUCUGUCAUCUGAAUAACUCCUUAAAAAUGAUAGCAAUGGUAGUAGAAAUUUAAAAGGAACCUCCCAAAAAACAUGCAAAAGCUUACCACCCCAGUAAAUCACCCGCAACAAUGUCGCAACAGUUUAAAUUUACUGCAGAGAGAGCUGAAGUUUAGGAGACACAGCUUUAUAAUAUUUUUGAGAGAUAGUUGAGUGCAAAUGAGUCCUGUUCCUCUUGCAUCAGGGCCUGCUCCACUGAGUCAUCCUGCCUUCAGAAGCUUCCAGCUAAGUGGCAGGCCCCGGCCAUAGGCUCCCUGUGUCCCCAGCCUCCAGAGAACACACAAUGUUCUCAUCGCCCUUAGCUCCAUUCCAGAAGGGGCCUGCAGUUCUGCAGCUUAUCAGGGGUCUACUGGGAAGUGAGAUGUCACUGUCCCUUUCUGGCCCUGCAUUGUCUGUGAGUGGCUCUCCUGGAUUAAGAGUUGGCAAAGUAUGGCCAGUGGCCAGGACUGGCCUGCUGCCUGUUUUUGUUUAACCCGUGAGCUAAGAAUAGUUUUUACCUAUUUUAAGUAGUUGAAAAAAAAAUCAAGAGAAGAAUACUAUUUCGUGAUAUGUGAAAAAUCACAUGAAAUUCAAAUGUAAGUGUCCAUAAAUAAAGUCUUACUG
ensembl:lncRNA LINC00426 long intergenic non-protein coding RNA 426